UAAAAAGCAGGGACCUGUUGCCUUUGUCAGCAUUUCUCUCAUAAACUUCAGGGAAAGCAGUUUCAUUAUUAUUGGGUGAACCUCUGGAGUUGUUUGUGAUGGAAGGUUCAAUAAAUUGUGGCAUAUUG
rfam:Vitis vinifera, whole genome shotgun sequence of line PN40024, unoriented chromosome 1, chr1